UUUACGGAUCAUUUCGGCUUAGAGGACUGGGUGAGUUAAAAUAUCGUAUGUCAAAUAUCGUAUAUAAAAUAUAUUUUUAAUAAACAACUGGUAGCAAGAUGAGUUGCAGAUAAUUGGUCAGUAACCACAUUUUUACUAAUUAUUUUGACCUGUUAAUUCUUUUCAGCUCAAUUCAACAGUAAAAAAUGCCCAUAAUAUCACUUUAAACAACACUUUCCCGACUACCUUGUGUACAUUACAUAAUACAUGUACCAAUAUCCAUAUACAUUAAUUUCCCGAUUAGGCUUUACCAAGAAAAUGAACGCGAAUAACUUUGCGGAAUGAAAUUAAUCAAAACCGUGACCAUAACAAUUAAAGGAAAACUUAACCAUGUCAGUCAUUGAAAAGAACUCAGAACUUUUUGCGUUGUGUAAAUAGCAAGGCGAUUAUCGUUUCCGCAAAAAUCCCCCCUCCCGGUUAAAAUUUUGUUAAGAUAUAAUGCAACGGACUUCUUAAAAUGGCAUAUCAACUAUACUUUCCCGUCAAUAUAUACCUGCAUUUAAACAAUCCCCUGUUUUAAGCUAACAUAUCUAUGAUACAUUUGUGACACCCUUGAUAAUAAUAUAAAUUAAUACACUCGCGGAAUACGUUUUUAUACAAACCUCUAGUCGGAUUUGAACACUCGUCUUCAACAAUCGCGCACUUUACUGAGAAUUUAACUUUGCUACUGAUAGUUGUUGUAGUAGUAGUAGUAAAAGUAGUAGCAGUAGUAGUAGUAGUAGAAGUAGUAGUAGUAGUAGUAGUAGUAGUAGUAGUAGUAGUAGUAGUAGUAGUAGUAGUAGUAGUAGUAGUAGUAGUAGUAGUAGUAGUAGAAGGGAGUAGUAGUAGUAGUUGUCGUAGAAGUAGUAGUAGUAUUAGAAGUAGUAGUAAAAGUAGUAGUAGUAGAAGUAUUAUUAUUAUUAGUAGUAGUAGUAGUAGUAGUAGAAAAAGUAGUAGUAGUAGUAGCAGUAGUAGUAGUAGUAGUAGUAGUAGUAGUAGUAGUAGUAGUAGUAGUAGUAGUAGUAGUAGUAGUAGUAGAAGUAGUAGUAGUAGUAGCAGUAGUAGUAGUAGAAGCAGCAGUAGUAGUAGUAGUAGUAGUAGAAGUAGUAGUAGUAGUAGUAGUAGUAGUAGUAGUAGUAGUAGUAGUAGUAGUAGUUGUUGUACAGCAGCAGCAGCAACAACAACAACAGCAAUAGAAGAAGCAGUUAUAGUAGUACUUAUAGUAGUAUGUUAUGUUAUAUCAGAGCAUUGCCUGCUUUGACCAGCUAUAUAUAUGCGUACAGAAUAUUUACACAUGUUACGCAAAAUUUGAUUGGCUGACUAACUCGGGAUCUCGAGAUAGCGAAAAUUCUCUCCUCUUUUGAUUGAUGCACUCUGCCUUUAUUUACCUCACCGCUCUUCUUUUUUAAUUGUACGCCGCUUUUAUUUAGUUUUGCACUCCUCUUUUUACUAUCUCGUGGCCACGACAUAGCUAACUCGUGGCCACGAGAUAGAAAAAAAGAGGAGAGCAAUUAAAAAAAAGAGAAGCACCGCUCUUUUUUUAAUUGUACGCGGCUUUUAUUUAGUUUUGCACUCCUCUUUUUCUAUCUCGUGGUCACGACAUAGCUAACUCGUAGCCACGAGGUAGAAAAAAGAGGAGAGUAAUUUAAAAAAAGAGAAGUGAAUGUCACCUCUAUGCCACCGUACAUAACCUUAAAUUAUACUGCUAAAAAGAAAUCCAAACCCGAGAUCACACAAAUUGAUGAAAAGAUACUUGAAAGACAUAUAGUAAAUACUACUACCUAACAAGAAUUGAUUCUAACCUAAAGCAAAUAACAUGGGAUCAGUUACAUAACCAUAAUCCUGGAUGGUAAUUCAGAAAGACGUAUUCACGAAGGUCCUAAAUCAAGUUACAAACUACAUGUAGACUCUUUUUGUCUUAAUGCCAAUAAAUGAUAUUUAUUUUAAUUACCAGCAUGUUAGAAGGUAAUAUGGUAAUGACUGUUUUGACUGCUUCAAAAACUUAUAUUAGGCAAGAAGUAAAGAUGAUUACAAUUCACCGAAUUUGCUUGCUUACAUUAUUUUUGUAGAAGAAGAAAGACAACUUUUUUCAUUGAAUCCUGUGUUUCUGUGCUUUUCUUUCCCUUGUUGUAAAAAUUAGUCUCUCUUUAUGAGGCGCAUAUAUUUAAGAAAUUUUACUAGACUGAUAAUUGAAUUAAGAGCAUUUAAUACACGAUACUUGUUAUCUGUUUGACUUAAGUUAUACAAUGCACUAUUCUCGUUAGACAACUAUUAAGAAUAUGUCGCUCCAGGGAACAAAGUUCGCUCAUCUGGAAGAGUGGAAUUGUGUGCCCUGCCAUCACAAACUUCAGGAAACAUUGCUUUGUUUUCUCUUUUUAAUAAACUGUUCGUCCUAGCAAGCCAGAAUUGUAAAAUCAUUUCUUUAGACCAUGAGCAGUUACUAGACCACCAUUAAGACAAAAAACCUCUAAUAAAGCCGGUUAAAAAUCUAAAUGUGUAGUGCUCGCAUGGUUGUGUAAAUUUCCAUCAUUGACACUUGCAUUAAUUUGGACCAUGCUCUGCCAAAAAGGAGUUUAAUGAAUGUGCGUAAAGUGUCGUCACAGAUCAGCCUGUGCUGUCCACGCAGACUAAUAAGCUCUUCUUAGCAAAAAUAUAAUUAAGCGAAAAGUUUCGUCUAUCUGGGACAACACUUUACGCACAUGCAUUAAACCCCCUUUUCACGGAGCGGGGAUUAUUUGUAUUUCUCUUUCUACACGGUUAUGCUCGAUCCACACAUUCUGUGGCAACGUGCAAGGUCAGCCUCCAGUGAUUCUAGUGGGGACUCACCUCAAUGACGUCGUGUGUCGCACAGGCCAGACACAGACCCAGUUUGCUGAGGAAUACUUUGAGAAAUUCGGGAAACUUUUGGAGAACUCGCCCAUUGCUGAUCACCUAUAGCCAGAACAGUUUGCAGCUGAUGGCACACACUCUGAUGACUGUUUUGAGGGUUUGGGAAAAGCCAUAGUAACAGUUGCUUAGAGACAGAAGGAUUGGAACUAGGAGAUACCUUCACACUGGUUGUAUCUUGAGCGGACCUUGAGUAAACAGGUUGCAGAGGAAAAGUUUUUCGACAUGGAACGGCUUGCCGACAUCAAUGAAGAGAUGGAGGUUCUGAUAACUGAUGGAGGAAGUUACUCUGUUUUUCUCAGGUGAAAACAAAUUAGAAAAGAACAGAAAGCUUAUUUGGGACCAAAGUUUUUACAUCUCAUCAGUCCACACAGGCUAAUCAGGAACGACACUUUCUGCCUAAAAUUGAUUUUUGCUAAGAAGAGACUUUCUUUUAACGAAAAAUAUCAUAAAAUUGGAAAGUGUCGUCCCUGAUUAGCCUGUGUGCACAUGUAUUUAACCCCCGUUUCUCAGAGCAUGACCCAUAUAUUUCAAAACGAUCUAUAUAAAAAACAAUGAAAGAGGUAUCAGAACUCUCGCCCAGUUUGAUCAAUGUGAAGAGAAUGUUUAAAACACGAAACAGAACAGAUAACUAAAUUUAGCCACAAUAAUAAGUAUUCAAAUUGAAACAUAUCAAUGUGCUAUGGACCCUGACCAAGACGUAUGCAUGAUCAUUAAAAUAGGAAAUACAGUUUGUUUGUUGUGAAUGUAACCUUCUUACUUUAUAUAUCUGCUAAAAUA